UACACAAUGGAAUAUUACGCAGCCAUAAGAAAAAAACAGAUCCUACCAUUCAUAACAACAUGGAUGGAGCUAGAGGGUAUUAUGCACAGUGAAAUAAGCCAGGCAGAGAAAGACAAGUACCAAAUGAUUUCACUCAUAUGUGGAGGAACAAAACAGCAGUAGAAGCACAGAACCCAAGAAUGGACUAAUAGUUACCAAAGGGAAAGGGACUGGGGAGGAUGGGUGGGAAGGGAGGGACAAGGGUGGGAAAAAAAGAAAGGGGCAUUACGAUUAGCAUGUAUAGUGUGGGGGGGCACGGGGAGGGCUGUGCAACACAGAGAAGACAAGUAGUGAUUUUAUAGCAUCUUACUAUGUUGAUGGACAGUGACUGUGAAUGGGGAUGUGGGGGAGACUUGGUGAAGGGGGGAGCCUAGUAAACAUAAUGUCCUUCAUGUAAUUGUAGAUUAAUGAUACCAAAAUAA